rnacentral:misc_RNA from 1 species
CCGAGUUUUCAACUCCCAAACCCUAUGUGAACUUACCACACCGUUGCUUCGGCGCGCGCUCGUCGCCGCCGAGGACACAAAACUCUGUCUUGUAUAAGCAUUUCUGAGUGGCCGAAAGGCAAAAAACAAAUGAAUCA